GAGCUAAUACAUGCUAACACGCUCGAACUUACGUGAGGGGCGCUUUUAUUAGAUCAAAACCAAUCGGCUUCGGCUGUUUUCUUGGUGACUCUGAAUAACUUUGGGCUGAUCGCAUAGCCUUGCGCUGGCGACAUAUCCUUCGAAGGUGUGCCCUAUCAACUGUCGACUGUGGCAUAGACGCCCACAGUGGUUUUGACGGGUAACGGGGAAUCAGGGUUCGAUUCCGGAGAGGGAGCCUUAAAAACGGCUACCACAUCUAAGGAAGGCAGCGGGCACGCAAAUUACCCAAUGACCGAAGGUCGAGGUAGUGACGAAAAAUAACGAUCCAGGACUCAUCCGAGGCCCUGGAAUCGGAGUGAGUACACUUUAAAACCGUCCCCGAGGAUCUAUUGGAGGGCAAGUCUGGUGCCAGCAGCCGCGGUAAUUCCAGCUCCAAUAGCGUAUAUUAAAGUUGUUGUGGUUAAAAAGCUCGUAGUUGGAUCUCGGCAGAUUUGGGGCGGUUUAGUUGCUACUAUUACUGCCCUAUAAUCUGUAGUUUUUGCCAGAGGUUUUAGGGUGCUCUUAAUCGAGUGUCCUGAGAUGCUGGCAGGUUUACUUUGAAAAAAUUAGAGUGCUCAAAGCAAGCUUGAUUGCUUGAAUAUUCGUGCAUGGAAUAAUGAAAUAGGAAGUCGUUUCUAUUUUGUUGGUUUUCGGAAAUCGACUUAAUGAUUAAUAGGGACAGUCGGGGGCAUUUGUAUUCAAACGACAGAGGUGAAAUUCUUGGACCGUUUGAAGACUAACUACA
rnacentral:rRNA from 1 species